rnacentral:piRNA from 1 species
UGCCUGGUUUCUGGAUGCCCGGUGCUC